rnacentral:rRNA from 1 species
GACGAACGCGUGGCGGCGUGCCUAACACAUGCAAGUCGAACGGAAGGUAAGUGCUUACGGUAUUUACUUUAGUGGCGAACGGGUGAGUAACGCGUGAGGAACCUGCCUUUCAGUGGGGGGACAACAGUUGGAAACGACUGCUAAUACCGCAUGACGCUUCUUAGGGGCAUCCCUGAGAAGUCAAAGCUUUAUGUGCUGAAAGAUGGCCUCGCGUCUGAUUAGCUAGUUGGUGGGGUAAUGGCCUACCAAGGCGACGAUCAGUAGCCGGACUGAGAGGUUGAACGGCCACAUUGGGACUGAGAUACGGCCCAG